AUGGACUGCAAGUUCUCUACAAAAAUGGAGAGUGGAUUGAGCUCAAUCAUACUUCACCAAAUUCCUAUAUUGUUUUAUCAGAAGAUGUUUUUAUGGCAUGGACAAAUGAUAGAUUGACAUCUGCUCAACACAGGGUUGUAACAACAGGAGACAAAGAAAGAUUCUCUAUUCAAGUUUUUUCCUUUCCAAAUCCAGAUUACACUGUGAAGGUCCCACAAGAAUUAGUGGAUGAAGAACACCCUUUAAUGUACAAGCCUUUUAAGAUGUCUGAAUAUAAUAAAUAUAUUAUGUUAGGUGCUAAAAAUGGAUUGGGUGUCAAGAAUUAUUGUGGUCUUUAAAAAUUUAGUAGCUAUGAAAAUUUAUUUAUGUAUUGUUUUGAUGAAUAAAAUGUAUCAGAUGGCUGGUUGAAUAUUU